UGAAUUUUGGGGGUUUGAAAAAAUCUUGUUUAAAACAAAAUUAUUUUCAUUUUGAGAGUUUAAAAAUAUUUUUGUGAAAACAUUUGGAUAAAGCAUCAAAAUAUCAAUGUUAAGAAAAUAUGAGGAAAAUAAAAAGAAAAGGGAAUCGAGAAAACACCAAAACUUAUAGAAGUUAUGUCUAAAUUAAUUGACCUAAUCCUUUCCACAAGACAAGUAAAUAUGAAUUUUCAGGUUAACUUCCAA
rnacentral:lncRNA from 1 species